AGCUCGGCUUCAGGAGUACUUUUCAAAAUAUCAUGUAUUUUGCUAACUCUAUAUAACUCCAUGUGUCAUUUCAUCCAGAAAACUUGUUUCUAAUGCUUUUUUCUCUGGACUCUAAGCUGGUUGAUGCCACCAGGCCUUGGGAAAAAGCCUGCCUUCUGAUAGGAUUGCUAUUGAGUAGCAAAAAUUCUUGGAUUCUGAUAACAUCUUUCAUGCAGAAACUCAAAGCAUCUCCCAAAUUAUAAGCCCAUUCUUUUACACUGUUCUACACUCUCACACUCUAGGAACAACUCAUUUCAAUCUUGGGACAUUGACCAGAAUUCAGGGAAACUAGCAUGAUCCUUCCAGUCUGACGUUUCAUUCCAUCUACUGUCCAAAGCUGUGUCUACAAGGCAUCACCUAUGAGACAAUAAAACAAACCCUCUGAAAUCAGGAAAUUUGCCAGAAGAUGGCGAGCUGGGAAGAAAUAAAACCAGGAUUUGAGCCAGGACUGACUGCAAAGUGCGGUGCUAGAGGACCUUCUGAGUCAA
rnacentral:lncRNA from 10 species